rnacentral:rRNA from 1 species
UAGGGAAUCUUCGGCAAUGGACGAAAGUCUGACCGAGCAACGCCGCGUGAGUGAAGAAGGUUUUCGGAUCGUAAAACUCUGUUGUUAGAGAAGAACAAGGACGUUAGUAACUGAACGUCCCCUGACGGUAUCUAACCAGAAAGCCACGGCUAACUACGUGCCAGCAGCCGCGGUAAUACGUAGGUGGCAAGCGUUGUCCGGAUUUAUUGGGCGUAAAGCGAGCGCAGGCGGUUUCUUAAGUCUGAUGUGAAAGCCCCCGGCUCAACCGGGGAGGGUCAUUGGAAACUGGGAGACUUGAGUGCAGAAGAAGAGAGUGGAAUUCCAUGUGUAGCGGUGAAAUGCGUAGAUAUAUGGAGGAACACCAGUGGCGAAGGCGGCUCUCUGGUCUGUAACUGACGCUGAGGCUGGAAAGCGUGGGAAGCAAACAGG